AUUAAUACCUUAUAGUAUUGUUGAUAAUCAUUUAUUAACAAUUAAAGUUUCGGCGGUAAAAGAUGGGCAUGCGUCCUAUUAGCUAGAUGGAGUGGUAACGGCACCCCAUGGCAACGAUAGGUAGGGGUCCUGAGAGGGAGAUCCCCCACACUGGUACUGAGACACGGACCAGACUCCUACGGGAGGCAGCAGUGAGGAAUAUUGGACAAUGGACGCAAGUCUGAUCCAGCCAUGCCGCGUGCAGGAAGACGGCCCUAUGGGUUGUAAACUGCUUUUAUACAAGAAGAAUAAGGCUUACGUGUAAGUUGAUGACGGUAUUGUAUGAAUAAGCACCGGCUAACUCCGUGCCAGCAGCCGCGGUAAUACGGAGGGUGCAAGCGUUAUCCGGAAUCAUUGGGUUUAAAGGGUCCGUAGGCGGGCUAAUAAGUCAGGGGUGAAAGUUUGCAGCUCAACUGUAAAAUUGCCUUUGAUACUGUUAGUCUUGAAUUAGUAGGAAGUGGUUAGAAUAAGUAGUGUAGCGGUGAAAUGCAUAGAUAUUACUUA
rnacentral:rRNA from 1 species